rnacentral:rRNA from 1 species
GACGAACGCUGGCGGCGUGCUUAACACAUGCAAGUCGAACGGAAAGGCCCUGCUUUUGUGGGUUGCUCGAGUGGCGAACGGGUGAGUAACACGUGAGUAACCUGCCCUUGACUUUGGGAUAACUUCAGGAAACUGGGGCUAUACCGGAUAGGAGCUCCUGCUGCAUGGUGGGGGUUGGAAAGUUUCGGCGGUUGGGGAUGGACUCGCGGCUUAUCAGCUUGUUGGUGGGGUAGUGGCUUACCAAGGCUUUGACGGGUAGCCGGCCUGAGAGGGUGACCGGCCACAUUGGGACUGAGAUACGGCCCAGACUCCUACGGGAGGCAGCAGUGGGGAAUAUUGCACAAUGGGCGGAAGCCUGAUGCAGCAACGCCGCGUGCGGGAUGACGGCCUUCGGGUUGUAAACCGCUUUCGCCUGUGACGAAGCGUGAGUGACGGUAAUGGGUAAAGAAGCACCGGCUAACUACGUG